UACGUAGGGGGCAAGCGUUGUCCGGAAUCAUUGGGCGUAAGGCGCGUGUAGGCGGCUCGAUAAGUCUGCUGUGAAAGUUCAGGGCUCAACCCUGAAAUGCCGGUGGAAACUGUCGGGCUAGAGUCCGGAAGAGGAGAGUGGAAUUCCUGGUGUAGCGGUGAAAUGCGCAGAUAUCAGGAGGAACACCAAUGGCGAAGGCAGCUCGCUGGGACGGUACUGACGCUGAGACGCGAAAGCGUGGGGAGCAAACAGG
rnacentral:rRNA from 1 species